GGGCAAAGGAAGAGAGGAUGAACUAAAAAGGUGGGAGACAAGUCAGAAAGUGAUACUAAAAAGAGAGGGCCAGAGAUAGAGAACGAAAGGGAGAGAAGAUAUGAAGGGAAGAUUCUUCCUUCCAAAUGCCUGUAGUCCACAUAUAAGGAUCAGAAUCAGCAGUAUAUUAAGUCUUGAAAGACAUGAUGAAGUUAAGAUGACAGCAAAGCCCUAAUCUAGUAUGACUGGUGUCCUUAUAUGAAGAGGGAGAGACACCAAGGGUAUGAGCCCACAGAGGAACGGCCAUGUGAGGUCACAGACAGGAAGAUAGCAUUUGCAAGCCAAGGAAAGAAGCCUCAAGAGAAACAAAACCUGCUGACAUCUUCAUCUGGGACUUUAGCCUCCAGAGUUGUGA